UUGUGCCUACGGGAGGCAGCAGUGAGGAAUAUUGGUCAAUGGGCGGGAGCCUGAACCAGCCAAGCCGCGUGAAGGAAGAAGGCGCCAGGCGUCGUAAACUUCUUUUGUCGGGGAACAAAGGGCGCCACGCGUGGCGUUGUGAGUGUACCCGAAGAAAAAGCAUCGGCUAACUCCGUGCCAGCAGCCGCGGUAAUACGGAGGAUGCGAGCGUUAUCCGGAUUUAUUGGGUUUAAAGGGUGCGUAGGCGGACUGGAAAGUCAGCGGUAAAAUCGAGAGGCUCAACCUCUUUCCGCCGUUGAAACUGG
rnacentral:rRNA from 1 species